CAAUUCUUCUUCCAUGGAUUUGCCCACUCCCUUUUUGGAUGCUGCUCUGUUAGCAGUGUCUUUCAUCACGUGCAUGAAAAGUGGGAGGGAAUCUGACUGGUUUUCAAUUGUUGACAGAAGACUUUCAUCUCUGGAGAGGAGACUGGAUAUGGAAGGAAACACGUCAGAAUGUCUGAACACAGCAAAUGUAGCUGUGGGGUAAGGUGGCUAAUAAAAACAAAAAAUAAAACAUACAAAAAUUUUACUAAAUCUGUAUUUUUUACUGGCUUUUUUACUACCCCUGAUUGUGUUAAACAAGAAGAGAAGAUGUCCUUUUUCCUUCCACCCAAAGUGGAGCUUUGAGAAAAGUGCUUUAAAACCCAUCAGCACAGGAAGAAACACCAAGAUCCCUUCUUCUGCAUCCCAAGCUCCAUAACCUAAAAAUACGCCUAAAAGCAAUGCUAUGUUAGCAAUCCAAUUGGAGAGAAUAAGGAAAACCCAAGAGCAUGCCCAAAAGACCCAAAGUUUGACUCGCUGAUUGUGCCCUGCCCAACCCUAAACGUUUUACAUCAAUCUCAAACACAUUUUGAAGGCAACUCAUCACAACAGGGAAGUACUUACAGCAGGAAAAAUAAGUAUCAUCUAGAGUGUCUUUGCUUCUCAAAGGGUUGCCCAGGCAAUCCUUUGUCAGCGUCCAUUUUAACACAAGUAUUCAAUUCCCCUUUCUCUCUUUGUUAGUGGCAUGCAUGUAACAAACAAAGCCAAUUUUAUUUACUUCCAAAAAAAUAAUAAAAAAAAUCACAGGGCUGAACAGAUGCAAGAUUUUUACUUCUUACAUAUUUCAUGGGACAAACUGCAUUGAUGGAUUAAAUGUGAAUGUCAAAAUACUUUACAUCUUAUGGCAGCUAGAAACAUGGAACAGUGACCUAACCUUGAUGUCUAUGGAGUAUCAGACUGUUAUCAAGUACCUUCAAAAGCAAUCCUACUAUAUCUUCUUAAAACAAUGACUGUUUGACAACAUUCAGACAGCAAAGGUUUUGAAUAAUCUAAGCUGAAACGUUUCACUAAAAGCCAUUUUUCAAAGACCCCUCCUAGUCAAAAAGAAAAGAUUUUUUCUUCACAUGGGCCCAAAGUAUGGGGUAAGAAAGUAUUAAAUAAGUUCAUUAGUCUCUUCUGAAAGUAGCCUCCUUUUCUUUUUUUUUUUUUUGUUUGUUUGUUUUUUUGUUGUUGUUGUUGUUUUUAGCAUAAAGAUUAUCUUUGGUCCUCUAAGAUGAAUAAAGGAAAUAUCUAAUUAUGCUCAAUGUGAAAAUGACAGUAAAAGGCCUUUUCUUUUCAAAAUUUGUGUCAUUUAUUUGUCCACAUUAAAAAAUAAUCAGAGGCUACCUGUGUUGUAUUUAACAAUACAUAAAUAUAAUUUAUAAUUAAAUAAAUUUGCAUUUAUGAAUUAUUACUCUGUUGUCAGUGUAUCAUGGGUUCAAAGAGAGAAUGCUCUUCCUCAAAAAUUGGUUUUGCAACUGCUAGCAAAGAAACAAAGAGCUUUUCUCAGAGUACUUGCAAGUUUUUGGUGAAUUUCUGUUUUCUAGGAAAUCCUGAAAACCUCUAUUUAAUCCUGAACCAAAAAGAAGGAGUUACAAUUGGAAGAACCGUGCAUCAACUGUCUGCAGGUACCACCUCCCAUAGUAAACAUCUGUCAUUUUUUCCCCUCUGAUCUCUUGGAUGAUGAAUUUGGGGGUUGAUACGCAGUACUGACCUUUGUUUUUGCCUGAGCACUGAUUAGGAAGUGCUGACCCAAUAAAAAUGGGUCAUUUUGAUCUUGGUCCAAAAAUCUCAUCACCUGUUGGCAUUUGAAGAUAGUUACUUUUUAACCCAGCUUCAUUGUAGGAAAAAAAUAAAUAAACAAACAUAGAUAUAUGUAUUUAUAUAAGUAACGGAGAUAAAGCACUUAAAACAACGGACAAGAAGGAUACACAGGAGGGAGCUGAGGAAGUUCACCAGCGAAUAACAAUGCCAUCAGAUAAAUUUGUACUCAGGUUUUCUGCCACGUGCAUAGUUUAACUGUCUACAACAGGUUUAUCCCUCUGUCCGUCAUCUGAAAUAGCAAUAACCAUGGAACCACUUCACAGGAACUGAACAGAAUUGCCCGUCCACUACUAAAAAAUAAGCACUAUUGUACUCUGAGAAGAAAGAAAAGGGAGAGACUAAAGGAAUCCUCAAGUUCAAGGAUCUACUAUGCUACCCUACUGCAUCACAGCUAACUCUCACUCAUUUUACUGGAAGCCUUAAAACAUUGAGUGCAUUUCAUAAAGCCUUAUCACCUACAAACAUGUUUACAAGAACUGUUUUUAAUAAAAAGUACAAAUCUGACAGCUGUGGGUAAGAGUUAAAGAAACACAAAUCCUAAAAAGCUUGGAAUUAAGCAAAAUGAAAGCAAAUGAAUCCGUCAUCUUUGUAAACUGAUGAUUUUUGUGGGACCUAAUUCUCAUGACAUUAUGUUAUGAUGAUGUUAUGUUUUGAUGAAUGUUGUGGAUGUCAAACAAAAUUUAAUUAAAAGAGGUAGCUAAAAAUGCAAAGUACUUGCAGCCGGCAUGAAGACUGAAGUCAGCAGAAGUUCUGGGUCAAUAAACUCUAUGAAAGGCCUCCAAACUCAGCAAGUUCACAUGGCUAAACAGCACAGUUUUACUUAUCUGCUGCGAUUUUUGCAAUGAAGGAGUUUACUAACAGUUGUCCUCCUCUGCUGUUCAAUAUAUCCAUAAACAUCGAAAGAGUUUGCCAUUAACAUUAUAUACUGUGAAAUCAUUCCUGUAGCUAACUGUGUGGAGUUACGAAAGGAUCUCAUGAUAAUGAGUACACUGGAUGACAAAAUGACGUAAGAAUUUAACAUAAAAGCAGACAAAAUAAUGUGGAUGAGGGGAAAAACAACAAUAAAAGUAAUAAAUAACACAUACAUAACAUCAAGUUCAAGCAAGACACUACUACAGAGGAAAGAUAUUGUCACCCCUGAGAUGAGGGAGCCCACAACUGAGAUGGGAAAGAGAGGGACAAGAGCAAUAGCACCGUCAGCAUUAUGAAGAGGCUACUAAAUACAAUGGCUCAGAUGGAAACUUCUCCUCAGAAAGUCUCUAACCCCCAGUGACUAAAAGCUGAAGUCACAUGCCUGUCAAGGUACACAUUCCUGUCCUCAGCUCACCCCUUGCCUUCUCUGCUUUGGGACUGCAACUCCUUACAAGCAGCCUAGUUCUGCAACUAGGGCUGGCAACAGACCCGUGGGGACACGCUGAUCCUUGAGCCCUCCCAUGAGAAAGUCAACACUCUCAUCUCUUAUUUCAAACACAGUUUUCAGAGACCAUGGACUCGUGCCACCUAUCUUCAGGCACAUAAAUGUGGCACCGCUCACUGAAAAACACAAUAUCCUUAGUCACCCUCGGUGCCAAAGGAGAGGUGGGUACCUCCAAAGAAUGAUUUGGAGCGUAAAGGCACGGCUUUACCUCUGGAGGUACCACUAAGCUACAGAUCAUCCUUCGCAGAAAAAUCUCCACGGAGAAUGGCAGUGUGGGCCACGUGCUCUACUCUGCACUAGGAAGCAUCUAGCAGCUCGGGAAGGUAAAAAACGGGCAGAAGUGGACAUUUGUUCUCAGGCCACGCUCCUUCACCCUUCAGCUGUUGGGCCCUGCUCCUCAAGAGACUAGGGGAGAGAAGGGAGGACAGAGAGAGAGUGGAAAAACAACGGGAGAGAGAGAAUGGGGGCUGGAUGCCUCAUGGUCUACAAGAGUCCAACCACUUCCAGCUGCAUGGGUGAAGUCCAGGUCUGUGAGAUGGAUUUAAUUCCAGGUAUCACUCUGAAGCUUCCUCCCAUGAGAUGGAUGCUGGGGCUUUUUACCACUUCGGACGUUUUAUACUGAGGAUUAAGCUGCUGGCGUGUCCCCUGCCUGGCGUUUCCACUUCAAAGAGCUGCGGCUGUGGAUUGCAAAGCCUUUGAAAGUGGCCUCACCGCACAAAGUCCUGAGCAUUAAAUGAGGUCUUUAAAAAAAAAA